rnacentral:lncRNA from 1 species
GCUUACUUCCUUGCCUGCCCCGACCACCUGAAGGGUCUUCUACAGAUCCCUCCUCUGCAAAUAUGUUGCAUCUCCGCUGAAUGCCGGGGACUUCCAUUCCCGUUGCUACGGAUAAAGGGCAAGCAUGAUCACACUCCUCCUCAACACAGGACCUAUCAGCAGUCCAUGAGAAGGCAAAUCAGGAGUCUGCUGCUCUAGCUUUCCCGACCUCCAUGCUUCUCCCGGGAGAUGGGCGUGUUGUUUAGGAACAAGACUCCAACAUUGCUCUGUUUUAUUUGUGAUCCCUGGACACCCUCCACCCCCCAAUAAAAGAACUCAAGGUCUUACCGAGGCCACAGGAAGAGCAUCAGAGAACUGGAGGCAUCCUUGCAGAAGCCAUCUUUGAUGUCCAGGUCAGUCAGACCUCCAAACCCAGCUGACACUGGACUGCAACCUCAUCAGAGAUUCAAGGCUAGAACCACCCAGUCCCAUCCCGUCCCCCCCACCCCCUGCCCCCAGCCAACCCAUCAGGCAAAGCGGCUGCUAAACCAUAAAGUUUGGGGGAAGAUCAUUACAUAAUAAUAGGUUAACAAAAGAAGCCCCAUACUGGAGACCCAGAGUUCUAGGGUAGCUGAUUCACUUGGCAGGUGGGUCUGGCCUGUUCUACCCCUUGGUUCCUGAACCAACUGCACAGCCAAAGAUUCGGUUUGGCUAAAUCGAACAACAGAAAACUCCAGACAGCAGAGCUUUAAACACGCCAGACGUUUCUUUCUCUCAAAGAAGUCCGGGUGAGCUGUCCAGGCUGGAACACUGGUCCAGCAUUCGAAGGACACUGUACAUGAUGUUGGCCUUGUGGAUCAAAAUGACACUUCAGGCAGCAGGGUGGAGGAAGGUUAUGAAGAAAACUAAAGAUGCUUUCUCCUGAGAUUGUUUAAAGCCGCCCUGUGUCACAGGGCUACAUUCCACUGGCCUGGGUGUCUCUCAUCAUGUCUACUUGAAACAGACCCUGCAAAAUGCUUGCUGUAGAUCCUGCCACUUGGGUAAGAAGGCUGCGGUGCAGCUCUUGGCAAUAUCAGCCUUGUUGUUGGGUCGUGGGAAUAAAAGAGGAAAUC